CGAGCGUUAAUCGGAAUUACUGGGCGUAAAGCGUGCGCAGGCGGUUCUGAAAGUCAGAUGUGAAAUCCCCGGGCUCAACCUGGGAACUGCGUUUGAAACUCCAGAACUCGAAUAUGUCAGAGGGGGGUAGAAUUCCACGUGUAGCAGUGAAAUGCGUAGAGAUGUGGAGGAAUACCAAUGGCGAAGGCAGCCCCCUGGGAUAAUAUUGACGCUCAUGCACGAAAGCGUGGGGAGCAAACAGGAUUAGAUACCCUGGUAGUCCACGCCCUAAACGAUGUCUACUAGUUGUUGGUGGAGUAAAAUCCAUGAGUAACGCAGCUAACGCGUGAAGUAGACCGCCUGGGGAGUACGGUCGCAAGAUUAAAACUCAAAUGAAUUGACGGGGGCCCGCACAAGCGGUGGAUUAUGUGGAUUAAUUCGAUGCAACGCGAAAAACCUUACCUGGCCUUGACAUGUAGCGAACUUUCCAGAGAUGGAUUGGUGCUCGAAAGAGAACGCUAACACAGGUGCUGCAUGGCUGUCGUCAGCUCGUGUCGUGAGAUGUUGGGUUAAGUCCCGCAACGAGCGCAACCCUUGCCAAUAAUUGCCAUCAUUUAGUUGGGCACUUUAUUGGGACUGCCGGUGACAAACCGGAGGAAGGUGGGGAUGACGUCAAGUCCUCAUGGCCCUUAUGGCCAGGGCUUCACACGUAAUACAAUGGUCGGUACAGAGGGUUGCCAACCCGCGAGGGGGAGCCAAUCCCAGAAAGCCGAUCGUAGUCCGGAUUGUAGUCUGCAACUCGACUACAUGAAGUCGGAAUCGCUAGUAAUCGCGGAUCAGCAUGUCGCGGUGAAUACGUUCCCGGGCCUUGUACACACCGCCCGUCACACCAUGGGAGUGGGUUUUACCAGAAGUAGGUAGUCUAACCGUAAGGGGGACGCUUACCACGGUAGUAUUCAUGACUGGGGUGAAGUCGUAACAAGGUAGCC
rnacentral:rRNA from 1 species